GACGAAUGCUGGCGGCGUGCCUAAUACAUGCAAGUCGAACGCAGUGGGGACGGGUGAGUAACACGUGGGUAACCUCCCAUCAGAGGGGAUAACACUUGGAAAAAGGUGCUAAACCGAUACGGAUGGCUGGACCCGCGGGGCAUUAGCUAGUUGGUGAGGUAACGGCUCACCAAGGCCACGAUGCAUAGCGGGUCUGAGAGGGUGACCGGCCACACUGGAACUGAGACACGGCCCAGACUCCUACGGGAGGCAGCAGUGGGGAAUCUUCGGCAAUGGACGAAAGUCUGACCGAGCAACGCCGCGGGAGUGAAGAAGGUUUUCGGAUCGUAAAGCUCUGUUGUUAGAGAAGCGUUAUCUAACCAGAAAGCCCCGGCUAACUACGUGCCAGCAGCCGCGGUAAUAC
rnacentral:rRNA from 1 species